rnacentral:rRNA from 1 species
UACAGAGACUGCAAGCGUUAUUCGGAUUCACUGGGCGUAAAGGGCGUGUAGGCGGUCGGCCAAGUCUGGUGUGAAAGCCCGGGGCUCAACCCCGGAAGGGCAUUGGAAACUAGUCGGCUAGAGCGCGAGAGAGGAGGGUGGAAUUCCUGGUGUAGCGGUGAAAUGCGUAGAUAUCAGGAGGAACACCGGCGGCGAAGGCGGCCCUCUGGCUCGUUGCUGACGCUGAGACGCGAAAGCGUGGGGAGCAAACAGG